GCAUGCUAGCUAAUCUUCAUUCACACAUGCCUCCUGCACACUGGCAAGACUCGAGCUGAGGGUUACCCAUCCCUAUAUUCUAAUUCGGUUUUGUGGGAAGAAAAGCCCUCAACAUACGACAAGUGGCAUGUAAUUAACCAAAUCUAAUGUUGGUUUCAGAUUUCACAAACAAGAAGUUCACAUCACAUUGCUAAGGGGUUUCACACCUUAAGCCAUGAUGCACACACCACCCUACUGCAGAUCAAUAGAAAACAAUGUUUAGUUUCACACUUCCAAUUUGAGUGAUUCUCCUUUGAUGCUUAAAGUUGCCUGUCCAGGUUUCCAAAGAGCAGUAACACAAACCCAAAUAACUUGAAGACAAGUCCAAUAUAAAAUAGUUAAGGAUAGCUGCAGGUGCUAGUUCUCCGCUAGCUUCUCUAGCUAUUGUGUCUAUUAAUUUGCAAAAUACACUUUAUUUUUUUAUUUAUUUUUUUCUUCUGUUUUUUCUUUGAUUUCAGUGAAGACCAAAACAAAGAAGGCAAAAAUCUACACUGAAAUAGACAGAUUUUGUGUUAUUUUACAGUCACUCAGAGGCCCUCAGAUCACAAUACUUUAAAACAGUAACUACCAAGUUUCAUGUUGCCUGGGGGCAACAAAAGAGAAACUAGUACUCUCUGCUGAACUCCAGAGUCCAGUGGAGGACAUAGCCAAAGACCAACCUCAAAGCCAUUGACUGACUCCCAGCAGCAGAUGCUAGAACGUGUAUGCAGCUCCUUUGCAAGGCAAAGAUGCUGCCAUCAGAUUUGUGCCAGGCCCUCAGCGGGGGUGGAAGAGCCGUGGGACCACAUGGGGCUGCGCCAGCAAGGCCUUUGGGCUGCUUGGGAAUGGCCAUCCCUCUGGUGAAACCGUGGUGGCAGAGGCAUGAGCUGUGGUCAGAGCAAGGACAAGACGAGGAGCCAGGCACGUAUUUUGAUAUUGAGACAGAGACAGACAGACACAGAGAGAGAGAGAAUUAAAACCAAAGUCCCAUAACUAAAAUAGCAGCUUCUCCUUUUCUCGUGUCAGUUGGUGACCCAGCACUAUAAACGCUUCUCCUCCUCAGCACAGGGGUCACAAACAGGGCAUGCAGGCCACCCAUCUGGGCCAGUGCAGCAUCAGCAGGAUAGACCCAGAUUUCCUCUCCAUCUUCACACUCCGGCCUUCAGAUUAUAUCUCCCCCAGCCCCCACUUUAAUCCUGGGGUCUUUACUUUGGAGCUUAUAAUAAAUCAAUAGACAGUAAAAGAAAAUCCCUGUGGGAGCAGCAGUUGUGGCUCUAUUAUAAAAGCUUAAAUUCCCCACCUGCCACUUGACCAGUAAAAAGCUUGGAUUCCCCACUCCAGACCAGAUUAUGUAAAACUAUUCAAAUCCUGAGUGACAGUAUUUAUGAAGACAGCUGUUGGAUUCUCCAGCUGGGGGAGGCAGGGGCAAAUGCUGCGGAGUCCUGCAAGAGCUGUCCUGCUAUUCACCCUCCCACUGAUGGACUUUGUUCACUGAUGAUGAACAAUACCUUUAUUUUUUUCUUUUUUCCAGGUGGAGGAAAAUGAAUAAUUAAGUCAGAGAAAUGUACAAUUCCCAAGCCAACAGUUCUCAGAAAUAUCUUUAAAAAACAGAUAUUGAUUCAGAGACUGUUCUCAUUCUCACGUCACCCUCCCCCUUUCUCUCCCCAGCAUGUCUGAGCUGGGUUGUUCAUCACAAAAACUGGCAGGAGGUGUGAACUGGUCAUUUGUCUACACCAUUCAACUUAAUACAUUUCUGUGGAAGGAUGCUAUCGUUUUCAGUCAAUCAAAUGUUUAGCCACUCCCCUUCAUCUCACCAAAGCUCUGACAUUGACAAGUAUUGCCAUUCCUGUUGGUAUUUCAAACUACUGUUUACCAGCAGGGGGUUAAAAUCCAGCCAAACAAAGUGGUUUCCCGUGGCAGUGGUUACUGUGCACUGAGAAAGGCUCAAACAAGAAUCCCAGCCACUCACCAUUACAGUCAAUAGUGAAACUCCUGUGGACUCCCCUGCCUGCAUUGGGUUCUGAAUGCCAACAUCACAAUUACAGGAGUAAUUGGAGAAACCCAUCUUUUUACACUUCACCUUUUUCAAGCUUGCGGAGGACCUGAUUCUGAUCCACAUAUAAAUAAUCUUCCAAUAAAGAUUGUUCUUUUACCACAAGGUGGACCACACCAAUGAAGUUUUACUGAAUGUGCAAUGUUCAUUUGACCUAUAUCACUUCUGAGAUCAGCUCUAACAAUAUAGCAUAUCAGCAUUUGAUAAAACCUCCAAGACACAUAACAAAAAUACAUAUAACAAACCUAUUGCAAUAUGACCUUAAUAUAUUCAGCCUUGUCUUUAGUUCUGAUCUGGAGCUUAUUUCUUAUCUUUGUUGCAUUUAUACAGUUACAUUUUCAUGUACAGACUGUGGCCUUUAAUUUGUUUGGUUUGGCAACAGAGGUACCAUAAAAUUGUACCAAGAGGAAAGUCACAGGUUCCUUUGCACAGAGGCCACCCUGUUGCAGUCAGUCUAGACUCAAAUUCCCUUCUUCUUGCACUUCCAGGCUGGUGGGCAGCGCAGGGCAGUGCCAUAGUCCUUGUAUUCCCCCUGCACCUAGAUCAGCAUCAGAUUUGUCUCAUGUAAUGAGUCAUUGGAAAGGUAGGUGUCUAACUGAAGCUAGUCAUCUAGGCCUAAUAACAACCAUGAAGGAGAGAUGUGUACUCUGUAUAGGAGGAUUGCCCCCUCCCAAGCUUGUUUUUGGAGAAAGGUUGGAUGAAAUGCCCUCUGGGGCUGCUCUGUCCUCAUAGGCUACAGAAGGCUAGCUGAGCCCAAAUACCUGGCAUUUAUAUGGCUGAGAGUAGGUGAGGCAAAUCUAGACAUAAAGGGUCAUCACAACCCUGAAGUUCAUGCCAGGAUUUCAUCUUGCCAUAGAGCUGAAAAAAAUAGAGAAGUUGUUUUCCAUGAUGCCCUUUAUUCUGUACAACCAGUAUCCAAAAUAGAAACUGGUGUGGAGAUCUUGCGCUUUCAAUUUUUUAUUUUUUUUUUUUUUGCAAAAACUCUUCACUUCCUUCCGUUCUGAACAGACAGAAUUGCA